rnacentral:rRNA from 1 species
GAAUUUAAUAUAAAAAUUUAUAAUUAAUUUAAUUAGUUAAAAUUAAUAUAAGUAUUUAUAUUUAAUUGGGAGGAUUGUUAAAUUUGAAUAACUUUAAUUAAAAUAUAUAAUAUAAAUUAAUGAGUUUAAGAUGGAUUAUAAAAAAUUAAAUAAGAAUUAAUUACCUUAGGGAUAACAGCAUAAUAUUUUUGGAGAGAUCUUAUCGAUAAAAAUGUUUGU